UGCUGAUGAUAAAUUCUCUGCUACAGCCCUUGACGAAAUUACUGGAAGAACAAGAUCAUUAAGUCAAAAGCAAUAUCCCAAGAAGUUAAUGAAAAUGUUUCAUUCCUUGUAAGGCUGCUUAGCAGAAUUCAUCUGAAUAUUUCUUAGCAGUCAAAACAUUUUUACUUUGUAAAUGACAGGGAAAAAAAGAGGAAGCAUGUUUCUCAGAACACAAUUCUGUAAAUAGCAGCCAUCAACACUACAUAAAAGAGAGAUCAAGUUAGAAGGUCAGACUAGAAGAUCAAAGUCCAUCCAACCAAAUGCACGUCUUUCUUUGUUGGGGAUACAUGAAGAUGCUGGUGGCUGUUCUGGCUCUAAUCUGCAUCCUGCACUGCAAACCUGGUGCUGGAGUUGGACUGACAAGUUGGUACGGUGAGGAUGGCUGCUGCAGCACCACCACGAAAGUACGUGUUCCCUUGAAAAUGGUGAAAAGCAUGAAAAUAACUCCGAGCCGUUGUCAACUUGAGGCGAUGAUAGUUACCACUGUGUGUGAUAAAACACUGUGCAUUGAUCCAAGUGCACCCUGGUUGAAGAGUCCUCAGUUACAAAAACACAUCAAUGCAAAUUUACACAGCCUCUGUCCAACAAAAAAAAGUGGAGAAACAAAAUCUUAAGGAUGUUUUAAUGUUUUGUGGGUCAUUAUAUAUUUCCUAAAAGAUGUUUUUGAAUGUUUUUGUUGAGUGACAUAUUUUUAUAUUAAAAUUCUUUCUAUCAAACACACCUGUUGGCUUGUUGGUUAAAAAGUGUUGUGUGAAAUUUCUACAAUUUAAACUUUAAAAUUAAAUAAAUGUUUUAUUCGCAUUGAUAUACCAUUUUUAAACCAAAUAUUGUGUGAAGUGAUAUUUAAAGCUUUUGUAUGAAACUGGUGAAGUUGAUGUCUGUUUACUGUCUUAUGCU